rnacentral:rRNA from 1 species
CCUACGGGAGGCAGCAGUGAGGCAUAUUGGUCAAUGGGCGAGAGCCUGACCCAGCAACGCCGCGUGAAGGAAGAAGGCUUUCGGGUUGUAAACUUCUUUUCUCAGGGACGAAGAACGUGACGGUACCUGAGGACUAAGCCACGGCUAACUACGUGCCAGCAGCCGCGGUAAUACGUAGGUGGCAAGCGUUAUCCGGAUUUAUUGGGUGUAAAGGGCGUGUAGGCGGGAGCGCAAGUCAGAUGUGAAAACUCAGGGCCCAACCCUGAGCCUGCAUUUGAAACUGUGUUUCUUGAGUGCUGGAGAGGCAAUCGGAAUUCCGUGUGUAGCGGUGAAAUGCGUAGAUAUACGGAGGAACACCAGUGGCGAAGGCGGAUUGCUGGACAGUAACUGACGCUGAGGCGCGAAAGCGUGGGGAGCAAACAGGAUUAGAUACCCGAGUAGUC